GUUCAAAGGUGCAUAAACCUGUAUUCGGCACAUGUGUUGUGUAUUAAUGGGCACUUCACAACUUCUCUUCACCCCUUAGAAACUGGAGCGCUGGGUCUUGUCUGCACACAGGGAGUGAGUCUCUUUUUUCUGAGCAGAAAGCUGAGGAGGAGGACAAUACAGGCAGGGCCUGAGAGACGCCAUGUGCAUGGCAGCCUGCUGGUUCACACAAAGAGCUAAACUCAGGAAGUGAUAAUGUGAGCAGUUAAUUAGCACCUACUGUCAAGCUCAACAGUGGCCCUCACUCCUAAUCCAAUUGACACUUUUCAAUCCUCAGCUUCCUAGAGGGCCUUGUCACAUUUGUAACCCUCUCCUGUUUUGGAGUGAGGCAGGACAUUGUGGUUUUUUGCAAGUAUUGGAGCCAGAAUGCCUGGAUUAGAAUCCUGGCUCUGCCACUUACCAACUGCAUGACCUGCUGCAAGUUACCUGGCUGGAUUCUAUGUGACUAUAAGAAGAAUUGCUCCCUGGCCAACCUGCACGUGACAUAUGGCCCAGGCUACGUAAGGACCGGUUGAUGAUUUGCUUCUGGAACUGCACUGCAAGGCACCUGCCUAGUGUCUCAGAGUGAAAUCAUAUGUUUAAGAUAUCUACAGUGUUAAAUACUCCUACCUUGACAGAUGUCAGGCUACUCAGCUGACAUCACUGAACGAGGACUUGGGAAAAGAUGAACGCACAGUAGCACAGCUGUUCUUUACCCUUCCCACCAUUCAGAUGCAGUUGAUGUAAAUAACUUAAAAAACAGAGAUAAUG
ensembl:lncRNA